UACGUAGGGCGCAAGCGUUGUCCGGAAUUAUUGGGCGUAAAGAGUUCGUAGGCGGCUUGUCACGUCGGGUGUGAAAGCUCGGGGCUUAACCCCGGGUCUGCAUUCGAUACGGGCAGGUUAGAGUGUGGUAGGGGAGAUCGGAAUUCCUGGUGUAGCGGUGAAAUGCGCAGAUAUCAGGAGGAACACCGGUGGCGAAGGCGGAUCUCUGGGCCAUUACUGACGCUGAGGAGCGAAAGCGUGGGGAGCGAACAGG
rnacentral:rRNA from 1 species